UAUGCUACUGUAUUGAGAUUAUUUGCAAAACUAUCUCCCAAUCCCUCCUUUUCCUCAUUAAUGGAGUUAAUGUAAGUUUUGACAAAAUGUGUUUAGCCUAUUGUAUAUUACGGUGGUAUAUUGCUGCCACUCAGAAAAAUAAUAUUUUUUUUAUCAUUAUGAUAUAACAUCACAUUAUUACGAAAUAAAUCAAUAACGAAAAUAACACAUGUUGUCGUUAUUAUAAUACAGAUAACGUUAUAAUGAGACAGAUCUUGUUAUUACGAGAAAUAUAAUGGUGUAAUGAGAAAUAUGUAGUUGAAAUUAAAUGAAAUUCGAAAUAUGUAGUUGAAAUGAAAUGAAAUAGCCCGGUUGCACGCUAUUAUGAAAAAUAGCCUUAGGCUACUUGGCAUAUUUGGCUUCCUCUCAUGCACAGGUUGACAUUCUGGCUGGUUUGCUUGAGUUGGUCAAUUACAUGUUUUCCCUCGGUUUGAGGCAUUGAUAGAUAUUAGAGAAAUGUCAUUGAGGAAUAAAUAUGGUGUUGUCAUUAGUUUACGGACAUUGUGGAGUUCUCUAAAGGCUCUAUAAACGAAAGAAAAAAAACGAUCGGACUUCCUUGAAAUAGCUUUAUUCCUUCCCGAUCAACUGGGCCGUUAUGGGAAGUUACGUGGAUACCAACUAAUGCAUCUAAACGGAAUGUGUGGUAAUCCAAAACACAGUCAGGCAUUUACUUCAUGCUCUAGACCCCCAUGAAGUGCACAUUUUGGGCAGAAGUCUCUGGGAACGAGUUUAACUGGCAUGCUACUUUACCUUCACAACCAAGAGGACAGUCAUCGAGGAACAUUUUAGGUAACCCAGCUAGCACAGAACGUUCCCUAAAGGGUCUCAUUUGUAAAAAAAAAAAAAAAAAAAAAAAAAAAAAAAAAAAACCUUUCACAGAACGUUCUGGGAACAUUGUGGGAAAGUAAUUUGUCUAAGAACCAAAGGAUACCCUUUAGGGAGCAUUGCUAUUUUGGUAAGGUAGAAACACAUUGUUCUGAAAACAUUCAAAUAACCUCAUAAAAUAAUGUUAUUUUUUGGUGAAUUUCAACUUUUACAUAACAUUCCCCUGUGGUUCCCGUUUGGUUGUUGGGAGAAAAAUAGUUCUGGGAACGUUCUGGAAACAUUGCAUAUCUAAGGCCGUAUUGGAUCAAACUGCUGAAAGAGAAGAUAAAGUGUGUGUGGAGCUUGCUUGGACAGUUUCCCCACCUGCACCAUCUCCAUUUUGUCCAGAAGUCUACUCGUAAAAUGUGACUUUAGGUUACUUUAUUACUACAAUGAACACUCACCGGACGGUUUAUUAGAUGGAGCAAUUGUGGGACACCACCACUUGUGAACACCUACUCAACCUCUAAGGUAAAUGGCGUACAGUAACUUGAUAGCAUUGAAGCAUUCACAUUGAAACAAUGGACCUUAUUUUGUUGCUAAUCCCAAAUGGACCCUUAUACUCUAUGCACAUGUGUUGAUCUGAGAUGAUUUGAUGGUUUUAAACAAUAUGAUUAAACUUCCACCUAGCCUAUCAGAGGGCUAAUUGGAAUAAUGACAAAUUUGCUCACAUAAGUCAAAUCCUCUCAGAUCUCCUCAAGUGCAUAAGGAGUAGGGUCUAAGGCAGGGUUAUUCAACUCUUACCCUACGAGGGUUGGAGCCUGCUGGUUUUCUGCUCUACCUGAUAAUUAAUUGUACACACCUUAUUUCCCAGGUCUAAAUCAGUCAGUCCCUGAUUAGAGGAAAACAUUUUUUUUUUUAAUUUAGUGGAACUUCCUUCAAGGUUCAGAGUUGAGUUUGAGGGGUCUAGGGGUUGAUUUAGGAUUGGGCCAUACUUUUGUAAUCAGAACUUUCAAUUGAAGUGUAACGAUACAUUAGACGUCUGUUAUGGUUAACAUGUGAUUCAGUUUGUCUCACAGAAGUUUCUCUAAGCUCAACUGGAAGUGUCACAGAGUAGAGGUACAGUAAUUGGCUUGAUACUCUUUAAAAACAUUGAAGCAUUCACAUCGAAACAGUGGACCUUAUUUUGUAUUGUCACAUUUUAGAGCCUGAACUUACAAAUGAACUCAGAUGUCUGUUAAUGUUAACAUGUGAUUCAUUUUGUCUCAGACAUCACUCUACCCAACCGUAAACAAUGGACCUCACAAGACAGCAGAUGUAUGGCUUACAGUAACUUAAUAUAUUUAAAAACAUUGAAUCAUUCACAUCAACACAAUAGACCUUAUUUUGUGGCGUCAACAAUGAAGUGUGACAUACAGUACAUUAGGCUUCCGUUAACAGACAUCUCUCCACCCAACCGUACUGCAACAGUCCCAGUCUCUCCACUCGUCCCGCAGUCUCCCCAACCAGAAGAGGGGGACCUGCCCUCUGUGAGAAUAAGUAAACACUGAAACAUACAAAUUUAGUAAAAAAUAUAAUGUUUCUUGUUAAAGCUAGAAUCCUUAAUAGAAACAAUAAAAAAGCGGUCUCCCUGCCUCCAUUUGGCAAAAAGCUGAGGGAUGGGCCUUUUCUGUGACAUUUCUCUAAUUUGUUGCUACUAUCCUGUCUCUAUAACUCCCCUUAUGUAUGCUGUUACUAUAGGAAGUGAGCUAACUUAACUUAAAAAAGUGAAUACACUAGCUGUGCCACUAGAGAUUCUGGGUUCGAGUCCAGGCUCUGUUGCAGCCGGCCGCGACCGGGAGACCCAUGGGGCGGCGCAUAAUUGGCCCAGCGUCGUCUGGGUUAGGGGAGGGUGUGACCGGCAGGGAUAUCCUUGUCUCAUCGCUCACUAGAGACUCCUGUGGCGGGCCGGGUGCAGUGCACGCUGACUCGGUCGCCAGGUGUACGGUGUUUCUUCCGACACAGUGGUGCGGCUGGCUUCCGGGUUGGAUGGGCAUUGUGUCAAGAAGCAGUGCGGCUUGGUGUGGUUGUGUUUCGGAGGACGCAUGACUCUUGUCCUUCGCCUCUCCCGAGUCCGUACGGGAGUUGCAGCGAUGAGACAAGAUUGUAACUACUACCAAUUGGAUACUACAAAAUUGGGGAGAAAAUACAAAAAAAGUUAAUACAAAUCAGAUGUAUUUGUCACAUGCGCCGAAUACAACAAGUGUGUAGAGUUUACCGUGAAAGGCUUACUUAUGAGCCCUUUCCCAACAAUGCAGUUAAAAAGUAAGAAAAUGAACAAUAGAUGAAAAUAGUAACACAAUAAAAAAUAAAAAUGCUAUAUACAGUACAAGGAGUAUCAGUACCGAGUUAGUGCAGUGGGGUAUGAGGUAGUUUGGUUGAUUUGAUUGAGGUAAUAUGUACAUGUAGGUUUGGUUAGGUGACUGAAGUACUGUACUUGUAAGGUCAUAUUUUAGAACUUAGCUAGCUAGUCAUGUUGGCAAUAACAUUUUUACAUAACAUUUAAGUCAUUUAGCAGACGCUCUUAUCCAGAGCGACAGAAUAAGCUUUCAAAUGAUGGCCACCUGACCCAGAUUGCUGUUUAUAAUGGACCGUUUUUGGAUUGCGUAAAAAACAACAGUGUGAUUGAUGGUGGGCGAUACAGGACCGUGUUCCAAAAAUUUGUAAAUACAAGCAGGGCAUAAAAUUAACACCUGCCAAAUGAGGGUAGAUUAAGGUAAUGUGGGUAAGCAUGUCUAUUUCACCAUCCGCGUUGUAGGAUGGUGUAGGAUAUUAAUUUUCACAAAGUUUGCUGCUUCAGUGUCUUUAGAUAUUUUUGUCACAUGUUACUAUGGAAUACUGAAGUAUAAUUACAAGCAUUUCAUAUGUGUCAAAGGCUUUCAUUGACAAUUACAUGAAGUUGAUGCAAAGAGUCAAUAUUUGCACUGUUGAUGCUUUUUUUUUAAAGACCUCUGCAAUCUGCCCUGGCAUGCUGUCAAUUAACGUCUGGGCCACAUCCUGACUGAUGGCAGCCCAUUCUUGCAUAAUCAAUGCUUGGAGUUUGUCAGAAUUUGUGGGUUUUUGUUUGUCCACCCGCCUCUUGAGGAUUGACCACAAGUUCUCAAUGGGAUUAAGGUCUGGGGAGUUUCCUGGCCAUGGACUCAAAAUAUCAAUACUUUUGCCUUGUGGCAAGGUGCUCCAUCAUGCUGGAAAAGGCAUUGUUCGUCACCAAACUGUUCCUGGAUGGUUGGAUGUUCCUGGCUGGUUGGGAGAAGUUGCUCUCGGAGUGUUGGUACCAUUCUUUAUUCAUGGCUGUGUUCUUAGGCAAAAUUGUGAGGGAGCCCACUCCCUUGGCUGAGAAGCAACCCCAUACAUGAAUAGUCUCAGGAUGCUUUACUGUUGGCAUGACACAGGACUGAUGUUAGCGCUCACCUUGUCCUCUCCGGACAGGCUUUUUUUCCAGAUGCCCCAAACAAUUGGAAAGGGGAUUCAUCAGAGAAAAUUACUUUACCCCAGUCUUCAGCAGUCCAAUCCCUGUACCUUUUGCAGAAUAUCAGUCUGUCCCUGAUGUUUUUCCUGGAGAGAAGUGGCUUCUUUGCUGCCCUUCUUGACACCAGGCCAUCCUCCAAAAGCCUUCGCCUCACUGUGCGUGCAGAUGCACUCACACCUGCCUGCUGCCAUUCCCGAGCAAGUACUGGUGGUGCGCCUGUACUGGUGGUGCCCCGAUCCCGCAGCUGAAUCAAUUUAGGAGACGGUCCUGCCGCUUGCUGGACUUUAUUGGGCGCCCUGAAGCCUUCUACGCAACAAUUGAACCGCUCUCCUUGAGGUUCUUGAUGAUCCGAUAAAUGGUUGAUUCAGGUGCAAUCUUACUGGCAGCAUUAUCCUUGCCUGUGAAGCCCUUUUUGUGCAAAGCAAUGAUGAUGGCACGUGUUUCCUUGCAGGUAACCAUGAUUGACAGAGGAAGAACAAUGAUUCAAAUACCACCCUCCUUUUGAAGCUUCCAGUCUGUUAUUCGAACUCAAUCUGCAUGACAGAGUGAUCUCCAGCUUUGUCCUCGUCAACACUCACACCUGUGUUAACGAGAGAAUCACUGACAUGAUGUCAGCUGGUCCUUUUGUGGCAGGGCUGAAAUGCAGUCUAAAUGUUUUUUGGGGAUUCAGUUAAUUUGCAAUACAAAAAGGGACUUUGCAAUUAAUUGCAAUUCAUCUGAUCACUCUUCAUAACAUUCUGGAGUAUAUGCAAAUUGCCAUCAUACAAACUGAGGCAGCAGACUUUGUGAAAAUUAAUAUUUGUGUCAUUCUCAAAAUUUAUGGCCAUGACUGUACAGGUGCUUUGGUCAAAAUGGCGAAGAGGCAGAGCAGAAAAAGGAAAGUUAAAGUAAUCACAGUUGUAGUUUCUUGAUCUACAGUAUACUGAAUCACACCUGUUUUGUUCAAUUGUUGUGUGGUCAUUGAAAAAACUAUACAUAUUUGAUUAUCACUUUUAUUUAAAUCUAUAAUAAAUAUUUAUUAAACAGAUUUUUUUAACAUUCAGUUCACAAAAUGACGAUGUCUGGUGCACCAGAGGUACACAAUAAUGAUGCUAAAUUAGGAACUUUCAAAAGAAACUUGAAAAUACAUUCCAAUACCUCUAACUAAUAACAUGUCUUAUUUUUUUUUACAGCUGUCUCUCCGCUGUCCAAUGAUGGUAAAAAGCUCAACUGACAACUAUUUCAAAACACAUAUUUGAUUUUCACUUUUAUUUAGAUAUAUGUUGUACCCAGGGCCUAAAAUGAACACCCACCAAAUACGGGUAGAUUUUGGCAUUGGCGGGUAUGAUUUCUAUUUCAUCAGUCACGUUGCCGGGUGGUCAGGGCUCCACAUUGCAAACAUUUCACUCUCAUUUGUGAAUAAAAAGUCAAGUAUGAUCACAUUAAUAGCAAAAUAAAUACUGCAGUAGCUGUUUUCAAUGUAUUUCUGCCUUGAGCUGCAACACUGCAUGGCUGGGGGCUGUGUGCACUUGAAGAGCUGCACACAGGCAUGAAAAUGGGUCUAAUUUACUUGAAAUGAAGUGAGACUUUGUCCUUGUGUUUCUUGGCUAUUGACAUACUUUUGUUCACAAGCUAGGGUGUUUUUCAAUGUUUGAGUUUAAGCUGCUAGGGUAGAGAAGCAAUACUAGUCAGACUCAAUCUCACAAGCACAAACAUGACUCCAGUCGUGUUACCAGGGUAACCUCCCGACCUUAAAAGGCCAGAUGAACAUUUGUGUCUCAUCUGUGAUAUUUUGGUUAACAUGAAAUCAAAUAAUAUACCACAUCACUUCUUACUAGUAAUAUAUUUGUUUUUUUUAGAAACAUUACAAAGCAUGCUCAUCUGUUUUUUUGUGUUUUGUUGGUGUAAUUUUAGUGGAAAAAAAUAUUUUGGCUGCUAGAAUUUUAAAUAUACCUGCCACAGUGGCUGGUAGACCAAAAAGUACAUUUUAGGCCCAGGUUGCACCCAUCUUUUUUUGGUGCUAAUUUAGGAACUUUCAAAUGAAAUUUAGUUGGAACUCCUAACAAUUCAGCGACAGCUGCUAGCCGCUGGAGCACAAGAUCUGCCAGACGAAGUCCUGCCUAAACCUUGUACAACCAAGGAGGAUUUGGAGGACCUCUGCAAGAGUCUGGAGGAGGCCACCACAUAACGGAAAGAGAUGGUUGCAGGGAGGGUUGAAGAGGAGGUUGUGGAGGAGUGAGCCCUUGACUCCCCUGUACCAUAGACGGUGGUCAGACAAGACAAUUGUGUAAUCCGUGUGUGCGUGUGUGUGUGCCAAUCAGAUUGCAGAUGUCUGAAUUGUUAGCAAAAAUAUAUUUUAUUUUGUAAGAUUUCAUUACUUUUUUUCAAACAAUACAAAACAUGCACAUACCAACAACAGCAUACAGACGCACACAAACAUCAAUGACAUAACACCUGGCCAGACCCACCUGCUCACACCCCAUCCAUCUCCAGCGCCUGCAUCACUCUCCGCAACAUGGCCUCAAACUGUACCAUUUUGUUUUACUCUGUCACCAACGCAUUUUCAAAAUUUUAGAUAAUAUAGUAUUGGACUUUUCCAUUGUGUUAGUGAUGGAGGAUUGGUUGAUUUCCAGUUAAGUGUGCAUUUUUUUUCAAGAUGAUUGAUGAAAUGUAUCAUUCAACCCAUCGGGUAUCUCACUGCUCACUCAUAUGCCAUGUCUUGAAAUAUGACAGAUGGAUUAAAAUGAAUUUACAUUGUGAUACUUCUGACAGACAACUUUCUAUCUCUGCCCAUAACAUUUGGACUUCAUAGCAUCCGCAGAAGGCAUGGAUUAUUGUUAGUUUUAUGCUUAAGACAUGACUCUGCCAUUGUGCUGACGUUUGUGAUUUUUCUCUUUGUAUAAUACAUUCUAUACAUUAGUUUAUACUGGAUUAAGUGUACAUUUUUGUUAUUGGUGUCCCUAUACUGGGAGGUUGAGAUAAUGUAUGAUAAUGUAGUUAGCAUGACAUUGUAAGAAAACAGCAAACUUUCCAGGACAUUGACAUGUCUUAUAUGGGCAGAAAGCGUAAAUUAUUUCAUCAAACUGCGCUGUCCAAUUUACAGUAGCUAUUACAGUGAUAAAAUAGCAUGCUAUUGUUUGAGGAGAGUGCAACAACAACAAAACUUUUAUCACGGAACUGGUUUGAUGCAUUCCCCUCUGAAGGUAAAUAAUGUACUUAUAUUCAGUAGUCUUGCUCUGAUUUGUCAUCCUGAGGGUCACAGAGAUAAAAUGUAGCAUAGUUUUGUUUGUAUUAUCUUACCAAAUCUAAUGUGUUGUUCUCCUACAUUUAAUUUCACAUUUCCACAAACUUCAAAGUGUUUCCUUUAAAAGGGUAUUAAGAAUAUGCACAGUCCCCAAGAACAAACUCAAGAAAGCGUACAGUUUUAUAUAGAGCCCUUAUUGCAUGGAACUUCCUUCCAUCUCAUAUUGCUCAAAUAAAGAGCAAACCUGGAUUCAAAAAGCAGAGAAAGCAACACCUCAUGGCACAACGCCUCUCCUCUAUUUGACCUAAAUAGUUUGUGUGUAUGCAUUGAUAUGUAGGCUACGUGUGCCUUUUAACAUUUCUUUAUGUAGUUCAGUCCUUGUGCUGUUCUUGUCUAUUGAUGUUCUGUAUUAUGCCAUUCUGUAUUAUGUUUCAUGUUUUGUGUGGACCCCAGGAAGAGUAGCUGCUGCAUUUCCAACAGCAAAUGGGGAUCUUAAUAAAAUGCCAAAUAUCCUUGCUUCAGGUCCUGAGCUACCGGCAGUUAGAUUUGGGUAUGUCAUUUUAGGCGAAAAUUGAAAAAAUGUCCGAUCCUUCGUUAAUAAAGUUCCAACAUUCCCUCCGUCAUGUGCCAAUAUCACUUAUUUUUAAGUCUUGGAGAGCUUAAAACGUUCCAUUUGAUUCUGAGUUGUAUUUGCCCAUAUGAAGUUAGUUUGUUAUGACUGAGUAUACUGUACUUUAAAAAAAAAUGUCUUCAGUGUGGUAAUUGGUUUUACUGAGAAUAAAUAUAACAACUAAUUGUUCAUAUUUAAUUGUGGCAGCCAGUGUGUGUGCUAAUCUGAUUGCAGAUUUCUCCGA